GCCUCGGUAGCUUAGUAGGUGGAGCGUGCGGCUGUUAACCGCAAGGUCGCCAGUUCGAAUCUGGCCCGGGGCG
rnacentral:tRNA from 1 species